GACGUAGGGCGCAAGCGUUGUCCGGAUUUAUUGGGCGUAAAGAGCUCGUAGGCGGCCUGUCGCGUCGACCGUGAAAACCCGCAGCUCAACUGCGGGCUUGCGGUCGAUACGGGCAGGCUGGAGUUCGGUAGGGGAGACUGGAAUUCCUGGUGUAGCGGUGAAAUGCGCAGAUAUCAGGAGGAACACCGGUGGCGAAGGCGGGUCUCUGGGUCGAUACUGACGCUGAGGAGCGAAAGCGUGGGGAGCGAACAGG
rnacentral:rRNA from 1 species